rnacentral:lncRNA from 1 species
CGAUUGCAUUUACCGUAUGUAAUAAGGCUUUAAACCCCUAGGUGGCCCUAGUGGACGAGUUUUGUCUUGUGAGGGUUUCCGGCUCAGAUACCCACAAACUGCUGUCGAAAGAAUUUAUUUUAUUGCUUUAUAAAAUCUAAUUUCAGAGCCCAAGUGCCAAGAAUUUCAAAAGCACACAAAGUUUUAAGUACUAAGUCAGCCCAAAUUCUAGGUCAAGAUGCAAUUCAAGUUGAGGUCAUUAAGUUUCUGUUAGGAAGUUGUAAGGCUAAUUUAUACUUAGGUGCUCGGUGAUAUCUGGACUAUUCACAAGCUAAGGCUUUAGAUUCUCCAAAAUACUGCUAAAGCUAGUAGUUUUCUAGAAUUGGUCAGAUAAGACCUAUUCACUGAUUCAAAAUCAUCUUAUCUUGCAGGAUUUCGAGAAUUGUGGAUGUUUACUUUAAUACCUUAUGGGCUUUAUCUGUAAUAUUCCAGUUUACUCGAAUUUUUACAAUGACGGCUUUCACACUAUCGUCUUUUUCAAGGUCAAUAUUAUUUUCUCUUUUUUUUCUU